GCAAGGGAGAGGUGAGUGUGGUGUGGCAAGAGACAGGGAGGAAGGGGAGAAGUGAGAGAGGAAAGGAGAGGAUAGAAUGAAUAUGUAAGGGAAGAGAUGAAUGAGAAACAGAGGAGGGAAGCGUAGAGAAGAAAAAGAAGGGAAGGAAAGACCAGGAAGCAAGAUGAAGAGAAGGAUGAGAAGGAAAAGGAGGAAGAAAACAGAGUAAGGAAGGGUUGAGGAGGGAGAGAAAUGGAGGAAAGAGUAGAGAAAGGAAGGGUAGAGGUGUCAGAAAUGGAGGAAAGAGUAGAGAAAGGAAGGGUUGAGGAGAGAGAGAAAUGGAGGAAAGAGUAGAGUAAGGAAGGGUUGAGGAGAGAGAGAAACAGAGGAAAGAGUAGAGUAAGGAAGGGUUGAGGAGAGAGAGAAAUGGAGGAAAGAGUAGAGAAAGGAAGGGUAGAGGAGAGAGAGAAAUGGAGGAAAGAGUAGAGUAAGGAAGGGUUGAGGAGAGAGAGAAACAGAGGAAAGAGUAGAGUGAGGAAGGGUUGAGGAGAGAGAGAAAUGGAGGAAAGAGUAGAGAAAGGAAGGGUUGAGGAGAGAGAGAAAUGGAGGAAAGAGUAGAGUAAGGAAGGGUUGAGGAGAGAGAGAAAUGGAGGAAAAAGUAGAGUAAGGAAGGGUUGAGGAGAGAGAGAAAUGGAGGAAAGAGUAGAGUAAGGAAGGGUUGAGGAGAGAGAGAAACAUAGAAAAGAGUAGAGUAAGGAAGGGUUGAGGAGAGAGAGAAAUGGAGGAAAGAGUAGAGUAAGGAAGGGUUGAGGAGAGAGAGAAAUGGAGGAAAGAGUAGAGUAAGGAAGGGUUGAGGAGAGAGAGAAAUGGAGGAAAGAGUAGAGUAAGGAAGGGUUGAGGAGAGAGAGAAAUGGAGGAAAGAGUAGAGUAAGGAAGGGUUGAGGAGAGAGAGAAAUGGAGGAAAGAGUAGAGUAAGGAAGGGUUGAGGAGAGAGAGAAAUGGAGGAAAGAGUAGAGUGAAGAAGGGAAGAGGUGUCAGCAAGGUGGGGAAUGCUUUGUUUCACUCUGACCACUACUUUCACUGUCUGAGUACAAGAGUGGUAAUACUCCUCAGGCCUCCGAGCCAUUACAUAUUUACGUCCUUACAUAAUUCACAAAAUAUAAUACGCUAAUGCCUGUAAAAAGAACACAAAUUGCACCCAAUCAAAUCACUGUGUUGCACCAUAUAACACUAUUAUCACUGGGCCGCAUGGGGGCGCGCUAGCCCACACAAAGUUUAAAGCCCACAGCAGCGAGACGUGCAGCAUGACUGAUGAGAGAGUGAACGGAAACUGUCAAUGUUUUCUCGACCACGCUCAACUCUGUGGACGUGGAGAGUGUUGCCAAUCAGUUCAUUUCGGAGAGGGUGAGGAAACUUACCCUCAAACAAAAAAUGACGCCAUUGGGGUGAAUAUAACUAUUUAAAAGUAAUGUUUAUGUUCAAAUUAACAGCAAUGGCGUCCCAGUGCGCUUUGGCCCUAAACAAUUUUACACACCAUUUGAUGUAAGAACUAAAUGAUUCACCGAUGAUUUAUUGCCUACGUGUAAUAUUAUCUUGUAUUCGUGAUUCUGAAGUGUGAAUUUAUUUUGUAUUCGUGAUUCUGAAGUGUGAAUUUAUUUUGUAUUCGUGAUUUUGAAGUGAGUAAUUUAUUUUGUAUUCGUGAUUUUGAAGUGAGUAAUUUAUUUUGUAUUCGUGAUUUUGAAGUGAGUAAUUUAUUUUGUAUUCGUGAUUCUGAAGUGUGUGUUUCUUGUUCAAUACAGGUUUGACCAAAUAUAUUUAUUGCGUCAGAGAUAAGGGCAUCAUUCUACCAUCAUAGAUAAUGGCAUCAUUCUACCAUUAAAGAUAAUGGCAUCAUUCUACCAUCAGAGAUAAUGGCAUCAUUCUACCAUUAAAGAUAAUGGCAUCAUUCUACCAUCAAAGAUAAGGGCAUCAUUCUACCAUCAAAGGGCAUAAUUCUACCUGGCCGCCCCUCACCGGGCAGUCACACCCAUUAUAUUCUGGGUACACUUUUUUUUGUGUGUGUGGAUGUUGGAGGUGGUUUUGUAGAUCAUGAUGUGGAAAUUGAAGUGGUUGAUGGUUGGAAAGUGGUUUGACAGUGUUGUGGGUGAGGUAUAGUGGGUAUACUGACGUCCAGAACCGCCAAUUUUGUUAAGUAGGAGGCCACGUAAGGAGUGGGUGGUAGUGAAAUGGGUGUUGGAUGGUGGUAGUGGGUCAGAGUGAAGUUGGAUGAAAGCUACUUGAGGUGCUGACGGUCACACACGGCAAUUUUACAUCGGCAAUUUCUGUGCAAAAUGGGCCGCGGGCUUGGUGUGAGGUACUGAAAGUGUGGGUGUGAGAUGGUUGUUGGGGGUGUGUGGGUGAGAAGAGGGUGGGUUGU